CUUGUUUCCAGGCAACCACCACAUCCGGCGGAAGCACCUCGCGAAGGCGCGCGUUAGCAGCUGUAUUUUGAAAAAAUAAAAGAACCUACAGUCUGUUUUCUUUGACAGGAUAGUGCUUACAGUCGGGAUUGAAGUGUGAUUCUUCUCGCCGAAAUUAAAUUGUUAUGGAUUUGAUGUCACAACAGACGAGAGUCGGAUACAAAGAAAUUGCCGAACUCCUUGGGAAACUCACCGAAGAAACAAGCAAACUCGAGGUACACCACACGAAGAUGAGCGAACACAAUCAUGCGCUCGGCAAUCUUAACAGAUCCUUCAACCAGGCGCAGACCCGCCUGGAGAGAGUGGCAGCGUCCAAGUGUGGCAGUGGCCUACUGAACCUGUAGCGUGCGGGCCUACUGAACCUGUAGCGUGCGGGUCUACUGAACCUGCAGCGUCCGGGUCUACUGAACCUGCAGCGUCCGGGACGGCAGCUGCGCAGCGCGACUUCAUUCACUGAAAUACCGCUUUAUUUGUGCCUUUAAACACCAUGGUGAACAAACACAAUCAGUUUCUGUGUACAAUACAAUAUCAUUGGCACCUGAUGUACAGUAAUUGCAGAGUCAAUUGUCAGCUGGUUUUGGGCAAAUAUAUAUUUUUUAUUUAUUCACGUGUGGCUUGGAGUGCUUGAUGGCGCAGAAAUAACACCUUUUUCUUUUAAAAAGGCACCCGCAAGGCAAGGAAUGGUGCAAGUGAAAAGCAAAAUCAAUUGAAUGUGAAUUUAAGUUACAUUCAUAUAAAGUAACAGGAGACUGUUUUGAGCCUUUGAGCUCAUAUUGCAAUGUACCAAGCACUGCUUGCAGCUGCAUGUACAAAAUAUUGGGCAAGCACUCUAAGGUGACAGUUUCAUGAAGUAAAAUGCAAACCCUUAUAAAUACACCAUUAUUAAACAAUGUUAAAAUGGAAAAAAUUAAAAAAGUUUGCAGACUUGAACAAAGCAACA